CGGAUUAGCCCAAACCAAUAAAGUUUUCUUUAUUGGGGUUGCGGACAUAUCAUAACGAAGAGGUAUCGUAAUUGAAGAGGUUUGGAAAGACCCACCACAGAAGGUAAUAGUCCUGUAUGUUAAACGAGAAGACUUUAGAUAUGAUCCAGAGUACCACGGGACACGUGAAACCCUGUGGGAAGCAGGAGGGACCACCCUCCAAGGCUAAAUACUACCUAGUGACCGAUAGCGUAUAGUACCGUGAGGGAAAGGUGAAAAGAACCCCGGGAGGGGAGUGAAAUAGAACCUGAAACCCUGCACUUACAAGCUGUGGAAGCACAUUUCUUGUGUGACCGCGUACUUUUUGUAGAACGGGCCAACGAGUUACGUUAAGUAGCAAGGUUAAGCACUUAAGGUGCGGAGCCGUAGCGAAAGCGAGUUUUAACUGAGCGUUCAGUUACUUGACGUAGACCCGAAACCGGGCGAUCUACCCAUGAGCAGGAUGAAGCGAAAGUAAAAUUUCGUGGAGGUCCGAACCCACGAGCGUUGAAAAGCUCGGGGAUGACUUGUGGGUAGCGGUGAAAUUCCAAUCGAGCCCGGAGAUAGCUGGUUCUCCCCGAAAUAGCUUUAGGGCUAGCCUCAAGGUGA
rnacentral:rRNA from 1 species